rnacentral:rRNA from 1 species
CCCCUAGAUGUUCUGGGCCGCACGCGCGCUACACUGAACAGUUCAACAAGUCUUAACCUUGGCCGAUAGGUCUGGGUAAUCUUUGAACGCUGUUCGUGAUUGGGAUAGACCUUUGCAAUUAUGGGUCUUCAACGAGGAAUUCCUAGUAAACGCAAGUCAUCAGCUUGCAUUGAUUACGUCCCUGCCCUUCGUACACACCGCCCGUCGCACCUACCGAUUGAAUGGUCCGGUGAAAUCUCGGGACGGCGGCUUGGUCGCUUGCGUCCGACUGCUGAAACUUGAUUAAACCAUAUCAUUUAGAGGAAGGUGAANUCGUAACA